CCAAGGUUCAUGAACUCAUCGAUGAAAAUCCACAGUCACAUUAUUUAUUGUGCUUUUACUUAUUAAUUUUUCUAUAUGUGACUGGAUUUUCAUCGAUGAGUUCAUGAACCUU
rnacentral:pre_miRNA from 1 species